rnacentral:rRNA from 1 species
UACGUAGGGCGCGAGCGUUAAUCGGAAUUACUGGGCGUAAAGCGUGCGCAGGCGGUUUUGUAAGUCAGAUGUGAAAUCCCCAGGCUCAACCUGGGAACUGCGUUUGAAACUACAAGACUAGAAUAUGUCAGAGGGGGGUAGAAUUCCACGUGUAGCAGUGAAAUGCGUAGAGAUGUGGAGGAAUACCGAUGGCGAAGGCAGCCCCCUGGGAUAAUAUUGACGCUCAUGCAUGAAAGCGUGGAGAGCAAACAGG